UGGGGAAUAUUGGACAAUGGGGGCAACCCUGAUCCAGCAAUGCCGCGUGUGUGAAGAAGGCCUGCGGGUUGUAAAGCACUUUUGGCAGGGAUGAAAAGCACUGGAUUAAUAACCCAGUGUGUUGACCUAACCUGCAGAAGAAGCACCGGCUAACUCUGUGCCAGCAGCCGCGGUAAUACAGAGGGUGCAAGCGUUAAUCGGAAUUACUGGGCGUAAAGCGCGCGUAGGUGGUUUGUUAAGUUGGAUGUGAAAUCCCCGGGCUCAACCUGGGAACUGCAUUCAAAACUGACAAGCUAGAGUAUGGUAGAGGGUGGUGGAAUUUCCUGUGUAGCGGUGAAAUGCGUAGAUAUAGGAAGGAACACCAGUGGCGAAGGCGACCACCUGGACUGAUACUGACACUGAGGUGCGAAAGCGUGGGGAGCAAACAGGAUUAGAUACCCCUGUAGUCCCUGAGCGGGCUGGCAAGGCGCAU
rnacentral:rRNA from 1 species